UACGGAGGGGGUUAGCGUUGUUCGGAAUGACUGGGCGUAAAGCGCGCGUAGGCGGACCUGCAAGUCGGGGGUGAAAUCCCGGGGCUCAACCCUGGAAUGGCCUUCGAGACUGCCGGUCUUGAGUUCGAGAGAGGUGGGUGGAAUUCCGAGUGUAGAGGUGAAAUUCGUAGAUAUUGGGUGGAACACCGGUGGCGAAAGCGGCUCACUGGCCCGAUACUGACGCUGAGGCACGAAAGCGUGGGGAGCAAACAGG
rnacentral:rRNA from 1 species